rnacentral:rRNA from 1 species
UACGAAGGGGGCUAGCGUUGCUCGGAAUUACUGGGCGUAAAGGGCGCGUAGGCGGAUACUUAAGUUAGAGGUGAAAGCCCAGGGCUCAACCCUGGAACAGCCUUUAAUACUGGGUAUCUUGAGUUCGGGAGAGGUGAGUGGAACUCCGAGUGUAGAGGUGAAAUUCGUAGAUAUUCGGAAGAACACCAGUGGCGAAGGCGACUCACUGGCCCGAUACUGACGCUGAGACGCGAAAGCGUGGGGAGCAAACAGG